CGCGGGAUAGAGUAAUUGGUAACUCGUCAUAGUACUUAGAACGUUAUCUGAACGUUGUGGGUUCGACUCCCGCCA
rnacentral:tRNA from 1 species